rnacentral:tRNA from 1 species
GGGGAUUUAGCUCAGCAGUAGAGCACUUGCCUAGUGAGCACAAGGCCUGGGUUCAAUUCUCAGCUCCA